rnacentral:rRNA from 1 species
AAGGGAGGAUCUAGCGAGCCCACCUCCCACCCGUGUUUACUGUACCUUAGUUGCUUCGGCGGGCCCGCCAUUCAUGGCCGCCGGGGGCUCUCAGCCCCGGGCCCGCGCCCGCCGGAGACACCACGAACUCUGUCUGAUCUAGUGAAGUCUGAGUUGAUUGUAUCGCAAUCAGUUAAAACUUUCAACAAUGGAUCUCUUGGUUCCGGCAUCGAUGAAGAACGCAGCGAAAUGCGAUAACUAGUGUGAAUUGCAGAAUUCCGUGAAUCAUCGAGUCUUUGAACGCACAUUGCGCCCCCUGGUAUUCCGGGGGGCAUGCCUGUCCGAGCGUCAUUGCUGCCCAUCAAGCACGGCUUGUGUGUUGGGUCGUCGUCCCCUCUCCGGGGGGGACGGGCCCCAAAGGCAGCGGCGGCACCGCGUCCGAUCCUCGAGCGUAUGGGGCUUUGUCACCCGCUCUGUAGGCCCGGCCGGCGCUUGCCGAACGCAAAUCAAUCUUUUCCAGGUUGACCUCGGAUCAGGUAGGGAUACCCGCUGAACUUAAGCAUAUCAAUAAG